GCGAGCGUGGUGGAAUUGGUAGACACGCCAGACUUAGGAUCUGGUGCCGAAAGGUGUGGGGGUUCAAGUCCCUUCGCUCGCA
rnacentral:tRNA from 1 species